GCGAGGGGCAGGGGGCGGCAGAGAUGCCCUCCUUCUCCCCUCACUACCUCUGCUGGGGUAUCGGCCCCCAUCAUCUGUGGCUCCUGCUCCUCUAGGGACAAGACUUCGUCUGUCUCUAGGCUCCAGCCCUCAUUGGGGUCUGGGGGGGAUCCUGAGCCCCCCACUCUCCAACAACCCCUCUGACUCCUGGGGUGAGGCCUCAGGCUUGGGAAGGGGGUAGCCUGGAAUGGUGGUCUGGGUGUCAGGUCAGGCUGCCACAGGAGGCUGGGCGCUGCCCUUCACAGAAGCAGGAGCUUCGCCUUACAGGGCAGCCUAGAGCCCUGAGGGUGCCCCCGCUCUGCCGGCAGGGCCUCCCUCCCCCCGAGGAGCCUGCGGCGCCAACCCCAACCCUCUCACCUGCCGCCUUGCCACCAGGGUCCUGGUCAGUGAUGCCCACUGGCUGAGGUCGGGGGGGGGGGGGGGUGGUGCUCAGAGCCCAGCCCACCCAUCCUAGGCAGGCAGCUCAGGCCUAACAUGUGUGGCCGGGUGCACAGCCCACCUGGCCGCACAAUGACACUGCCACACAGGGCUCAGAGUGCUCAGCAUGGCCCCUCUCUGCUCCCUGGUUCCUCCCAAGCUCUCCUAGCACCCAGGGUGCCCUCUCUCAGCCACGUGGCCUCUGUGGAAGCUGCAGGGUAUGGCCAGCGUGCCAGGGCUGGAUGGCCGCAGACACCCCCCAGGGACAGUUUGGGAGGUACCCUCAUUCUGCACCUGCACCUCUGUACCUGGAGGCUGGGUGGGGUGGCACAGGACAAGGAAAGGGGCAGCCAGGGGGUGUGGUCUCGGUGACCUGGCGGGGAUGAUUGACAGCAGGAAGCCCCCGGGGCCUGGCUUCUGUCUUGGGGCUUGGUCGGGGCGGGUGCUGUAUGUAGUUGUUUCAUUGCCAUGAGGUGGGCUUAGCAUCUGUCUCUGGUCAUUUUUCUGUCUGAGCUUCUGCUGAGAGGACAGGCACACCCAUGGCCUGCUCACAUGAGAGAGUGCAGGCACAUCACCUGCUGACACAGGCACCUGUGACAGGGAAGGUGGGAGGGGCUGAGACCCCACGGAAGGAAACUGCGGAGGACCGGGCCCCUGGCGCCUCCCAGGCCUUCCUGGCCUUUGCAUGGAGGCCUCUAAGAAGAGAGAUGCCAGCUGAGUCAGGGGGAGGCUGUGGAAACCUCUGGCCAGACAGACUCCGGGACUGCUGCCUUUGGGGAAAACAACUCAGAAAACCCAGAGGGGCCGGGGUGGCUGCCGUGGGAGGAGCGUUCAUGGGCCACCCCCCACCUCCUCCCGGCUGUCCACUCCAUGGGGCUGGAGGCCGGGCAGGUGCCCAGGCAGCCAAGCCCAGACUCGGCAGCCUCAGACCCAGGACGGGCCUGCCUCCCACCUCCACAGCUCAGCUCGGGCCUGGAGCCAAGGGGCUUUUUUUUCUUCCCCCUGAAGCAAAGCUAUCUUUUUACCUUGAUAAGCUGUUUAAAAAAUGUAAAUAAAAUAACUCAGUAGACAAAAGCGGGCAUUCAUCCCGCCUGGAGCCAGCCGCCGCCCUCGACAUGAAAUAUCGGUGCACAUUAAGUCGUGAGUCCCUGCUAAUCCGAGCGGACAGGCCUGAAUGCGGCCCCUUUCGCCGGGCGCGGCGGUGGGCACUGGAGCAUGCACCGCCUGCCGGGCGGCCCCGCUUGGGGACAAUGGCUUUUCUUCGCAGAAGGGGCCUGUGCGGGACAAGAGCCCCCUUUGUGUUGGGAUUCCUGCCUUGGAGCGCGAGGGAGGCGCAUUCAGCCGGCCCUAGACACUCUUUGAAAGGCUCGGGUGUAACAGAAGACACCGAAACACUAGCCUGCCUUCUGCCUCCCGCAUUCUUGCAAGCCCAGCCGCCCAUUCAGCCUGCGGAGAAUGGCCCUGCGCCACAGGAGCGAAGCCCCAGCCACAUUGUCCCUGGCGUGGCCAUCUUGGUUUCUCAGCGCCCUUCACCAGCCUCGAGACAAGAGCCCAGGGCCGGGCAUGACAGUCGCCAACACAUGGCCCACACCUCUGAGGGUGCAGGACUGGCGGUCCAGGCUUUCCCAGGAUAAGGGAGCCAUGACCCGUCCCAGGCAUGGCCCCACAUCCCAAAGCAUCACAUGCGCUAGAGGACUCUCUGCUGUCAUAACUGGUCACCUGUGCCCCAAAGUGCCAGUGCUGUGCCCUACGCGGAACUUCUGCAAAAAAACCCAAAACCAUGAGCAUCAUGCUGAGCGGCUGGUCCUGGGAAACACUGAAACAGGUAGGUUGGGGUCCUGCCCAGCCUAGUACCUGCAAGGAGCCAAAAGGACCCUCGGGGUGUCUGACCCUCACAGGGGCACCACCGCUGUGGGGACCUGGUCCAACAGAACGACAAAUAGCAGGAGUUGUGCCACCCAGAGCGAGGCCCCUUCACUCCAGGGCAGGCCCCUUGACAGGCGCAAGGAGGUGGCAGACACAGCAUGAGGGCUCUCAGGGGGCUCUUCCAGACCCCGCUGUUAGAAUAGGAGCAAAUCGGCCAGUCCCCAGGCCUGGUGUGGGUGUGGCUGCAGGACCCCCAACAAGGAUACAAAGCCAGCAGCUGGAAGCGGCUGGGCCCAGAGGGAACUGGGCUGUUGGUCCCCAGGCCACAUCACACUGAGGCCAAGGGACCUUGCGAGUGGGCCUGGGCAGAGGCAGGAGGGAGAAGGGGGAACCCUGUGGGGUCAUGUGGGUGCUCCCUGGCAAAGCUCCCCACUUGGGAGGCUCUGGGCUGGGAGGGUGUGGGAGGUCCAGCUGUCUGAUCGAGGCUCGAGGGGUGGCAAGUGUGGGCAGAGGGACGCCCGCACCCCUGAUCUUCUUAGCCCCCCCGAGUGUUUCUGGGAACUGACAUGUGAGACUGGACAGCAGCGGCUCAGGUAAGCGGUUCUGCCACAGGGCUUCCAGGCCAAAGCCAGGGUGUCCUUGGGCUGCUGACCACAUUUGAGGACCCAGUGAACACCCAGGAGGAAGGACCCCAGGUGCUGCACCAGAGAGCCAGGCGUAGGGGCGGGGGUGCUGCUCCCAGACUCUUUUCCAGUUUGGUGAGUGUGAGGGGUUCCUAGGACCCCAGUGCAUGGCACAGCCCCGAGCUGGGCUCCUGGGGUGGCUGAUCCCUGAGACCCUCUGCUCCAGACCCAGAGUCCCCGUUGCAGCACUCCCAUAGUGGAGGGGUGGAGAGGACACUCCCAGGGUGGACCCUGUGAGCCCCCUCAGCCCAGCUCUUGCCUGCUCCACUGACCCCACGUGCAGACCUGGCCCCUGAGCCCCUCCCUGCCAGCCCCGGUGUACAUGGGCGUCACACUCACUUCUUUGAACUUGCCCUCCUGGUGGAGCUGGUGGAUGUGAGUCAGCAGGGGCCUCCGGUCUGCGUCCUGCAGCUGGAAGAUGCUGACCAGUGGCUCCACGAGACUAGGGGGGCUCCUGGCGAGGACCCUGACUGCACGGGCCUGUAGCUGUUGCAGCCUUGAGCUGUGCUGGGAGACCAGAGAGCCAGCCUCAGCCGGGGAGUGGGGGGCUGCAGCUGGAGCAUGGUGCCGGGGUAGAAGUCCAGCACCUCAACCCUGUGCCUACGGUGGACAGUCCAGGCAGGCAAGGCCUGGGGGACAGAAGCACAGACGAGGGAGAUGUGUGACUGUGGGGAAGCUGAGAGUCAAGCCCACAGACCCGGGAGCAUAGUCAGUCCGAAGGCAGCGGCCCCUGCCCACCAGGGGUGAACGAGCUCAGCGGGCCAGGUCAGGCAGGUGUGGAGCCCACCAGGCUGAGAGCUAUGAAGGGGGUGGAAGGGGCGAGGCUGGUGGGGCCGUGGGCAGGGCUCACCUGGGCCGACGCAGGGAGUGGCCGUGCCUGCAGCCAGCGGUGCAGCUCACAGACUACCCAGGCCUCCAGGGAGGGGCCCUUCCGCUGCCAGGCCUGGCUGCCUUCCAGCAUGUCCAGGAGUCCGGUCAGUGGGUCAUCCAGGGCAGCAAACCCCCGCCAGGCCUCUUCCCGGAGCUGCGGAGACACAGCACCUCACUGUCUCUUUGUUGAGCGCAAAUCCGCCUGGUAAACCCUGCCCCGACCUGCGCGGCCCAGCACGUGGUCUGCUCAGAGGGGGGACUGGGGCUGGUCAGCACUGUCCUCCCAUCCUCGGGGUCCUCGUCUGACCCGCCAUGCCCCUGGCCCUGGGUGGCAGCCACCGUCCACACCGACGGUCCCGUAAAGACAGAGGGCAUGUUCCCUGAGUCAGGCCAAGGGUGGCGGGACCCAUCUGAGAGGCUCCGUUCAUUCGGCUUCGCCCCAACUACUCGUGCGGCACGCCGAGGACCUGGCACUGGUCCUUCAGACACAGUGACUCCUUGGCGGGGCCAGCAAGCAACAGGAAACAGAAGAAAGAAGAGAAAAAGCCAAACUGGAAAAGGUCUUUGAUUCACUUUUCUACCUCUUGCACUGCCAAAGGCUUGGAAACACGUAUGAGCUGAAAAGAGAAACACCAGGAACACGUGUGCUGUUCUCUCCCAAAUGUGUCUUCAGGAGAACAGUGGUUCCUGAUGGACUUUUAAGCAAGUGGGGUGUCGGGUGAGGGCCACACUGCACCCAGCCCUGGCUCUCCACUCUGCCUGACUCGGCCGUUCAGUCGUGAGACACCCUGCAGUCAAGAACUUGCUGCAGCUACAGAGGCCUGUCUCGGGCCCCCCUCCAGGCAGAGCUUCAGGGUCAGGGUCUCGGCCGUGAGCUCAGGAAACAGACACCCGGACACCUGAGGCUACUCGUAAGCAGCCUGGAGGUGAGGCCCCGGCUGUCCUGGAAGACCUGCACACAGAGAGCACCCUGAGGACAACCUGAAAUACUGACACUCUCUGGGAUGCGCGGGCCACACGCCCGUCUCAAGGAGCCUGGGGGCACCCGCAGGGGCCACUGUCCCCCACCCUCCAGGAACGUGUGAAAGAAGACAGCUGAGGCCGAACCACCGCCACUUUCUUGCUCAUGGACGGAAAGAUCUAGAAGGAUGCGGCCCUGGAUUUUGGUCCUAAUUUCUUCACGUGUGGUGCCCAUUCAGGGCCCCCGAAGAACAGCUCCGAGAGGCUCCCAGAGCAAAGCAGGGAGGCCGUGUGGCCGGGGCCUGGCCUUACAGUCGCCAGCCAGUCAGCUCUUCCGCUCGCAAGGUGAGCUCAGGUAAACGCCUCGUCUCCUUUCUCCGCUGGGCAGUCUCUACCUGCCUGGCCCCUUGCCACCAGCCGGACAGAGGGUGUGCAGCGGCCAGCCCUGGGGCAGGGCAGGGGGCCGGAAGGAGGAACCAGGCGCAGGACCGACCUUCCAGCUCUGAGCUGGGUGCCUGCUGACCAGGCACCACGAAAAGGAAGACUCUUCCAAGGGCACCACCACCCUUCCAGCCAGGUGUGGCUGCCCAGCCCCGGUAGGUUUCACAGACCCCUUCCCAGUAGGGUCGCUCCGUAGUCCACUGUUGGGGCCGGCUCCCUCCUUCGGGCUCACCCAGCUGCCCUUUGUGGUGGAACCUCGUGGUAGCCAGCCGAAGGGGAGUGAGCGGGCAUGUCCUUCCACGAUGGCCGCUGCCCAUUGUUGGCACCCUGGGCCAAGGACUCUGCCCUCUGUGUCUGGGAGUUGGCUCUGUCCCUUCCCGUGAAAAGUGCCUGGGAGGGGCGCCUGGGUGGCUUGGUCAGUUAAGCGUCCGACUUCAGCUCAGGUCAUGAUCUCACGGUCCAUGAGUUCGAGCCCUGCAUCGCGCUCUGUGCUGACAGCUCAGAGCCUGGAGCCUGUUUCAGAUUCUGUGUCUCCCUCUCUCUCUGCCCCUCCCCUGUUCAUGCUCUGUCUCUCUCUGUCUCAAAAAUAAAUAAACGUUUAAAAAAUUUAAACAAAAAAAGAAAAAAAAAGAAAAGAAAAGGGCCUGGGAGCACUGUGGAGGUGACACUCACCUGCCCAGGUACCAAGCCCCACCGGGGGUUACAGGCCUCGUUUAUGCUGUGUCACCAGUGAGGGCCCAGGCACCUCCUUGCUGCACUCUGGCAUCUCCCCUGGAGAGAGGAGGCCUUCUGGAAGCCCCCAGUGACCUCCCCACGGUUCUGCUGAUCAAACUUGGUCCACAGACUCCUCCACUGCCAGUGACUAAGCAACAGUGGAGGGGAAGUCACCAGGGAGGCACAGACCCCCUCUGCUGUUGGCCCCACGGCCCUUCCCACGCUUCUGCCCUGAGAGCAUCUCGGGGCCAGGCUGGGCCAGAACCCUCUCCUUGCAAGGCAUCUCUUAUGUCUGGAGCUCCGAGAGUCACCCACGUUGUCUGUGCGUGCCUUCUCCCACACAUGUGCCUCUGCUGUGCUCAGACAGCACCCAACAGCCCACAGGUCAAGGGGCCCACCCACAGAGCAGUGGGCAGCAGGCAGGGUGCAGAACUGGGGCAUGGGCCACAGCCCUGGCAUCCACGGUGUGGACGAUGCUUCCCCAGGACACUUAGAGCAAACACCCACUUGGUUUGAAUGUAAUUUUAAGACCACAGUACUUGAGCAAUCUGACUUGCUUACCAAAAAUGAAAUGCAGACUUUCCCCUCAAGCGUUUGGGUGAACUCAGGAAGCCAGGCAAGUCUCUCUUUGUAGACGCCCAGGAAAGGAGAGGCGUCUGUGGGAAAGGAGGCCUCUGAGGGCCCAGGGCUGUGCGGUCAGCACCCUCCACGGGGUGCCACAGGGAAAGGGUGGGCCAAUCCCAGUUCGGUGGGCUGCCUGGGCUCCAGGAGUCCCAGGAAGCCCCUCCAACACAUGGGCCUCCACGUCACAAGGACCCGCAUUGGUGACACCCGGCAGGAGCUGGCAGGAAAAAAACACCAUCGCUCCUUAACUACUUUGCAGACAUACUUGGGCCUUCGCCACCAGGGGAAGAAGCUUCGGUAAGAUGAGCCCACGUGAAACCCCACAAAGCACACAGGGAACAGUCACCGUGAGUGACGGCCACAACACGACAGUGAAAGGUCUGAGAACAGGGACCAGGCUGGGGUCUGAGAGCCCUUCCCGCCCCUCUGGCCCCUGUGGCCUCCAGGGUGCCCCUCAGGUACUAGGUCCAGCACCCAUGGGCCAUCUGCUGCCCCUCGUCCUAGAGGAUCUAAGCGUAGGCCCCAAGGCCCUGCUCCUGUGCUGGUCCCUCCUCGGCCUGGGUCCCGGGUCUCCUUCCCUCCUGCCCCCUGACCGCUGCCACCCGGCAGGGGCCUGUGCCCCGUCGUCACCGGCUUCUGUGCCCACAUGGUCCUGGGGCUGAAGCGGCGCCAGAGCCCCUACGGACCUGUUCAAACAGGCAGGGCUGCCCGAGAACUUGAGUUUCUCACAAGCUCCCAGGUGCCUGCUGCCUGGGGGCCCUGCUCCAAGGAGUACCGUCCUUCCAGUUUGCUCACCCCUCCUGUGCUGGCCAUCGCUCCUGCCGUCCCAACUCAGGGGGCUCUGAGGGCAUCCCAACCCCACUGUCCGUCCCCCGCCCCAGGCCCCAGUCCACACCAGCCUGCCCCCUUCCUCUUUGUGCCACAAACCCUCACACGGUUCUCCAAGCCCAACCCCCACUUUCCCUGUGCUGUUCUGUUGGGGACCCUGAAACUUCCCUGUGGUCAGCCAGGGGACAGCACGUGUCCCUCCAGCCAGGGGCUUUGGGAGCCGACGCAGUUCCUUGGCACAUGCACAGCAGGCCUCGCUGGCACCAAAAAUGAAAAUUCACGGACGUGACCCUUCACAGACAGAAACGAGUAACAAAAGGUAAAACACACACCUGUGUUUGCUUGGAAAUAAGUAACCUGCUGGCCGAAUGAGACAACAUAAUGAAAAUCAGAAAACAGGGAAGAGGGACAGCGGCUUUCUCCACCUCAAAACUCGUGACCAAGGGAACUUGGAGGGAAACGCACCGCUGCGGGCGAGCGCCUGGGAAAGAAGGACCGGAGAGUAAGGACGACGUCCGACAAGCGGUGGUGCCCAGCGGCACCAGCCACGCCCACAUGCUGGCCACAGCGAAGACGCCAAAAGCAGAGCCCCGGGGGCAGCACUACAGCUCGAGCUGGGGGCUUGCACUGCCCCCCUCGGAAAGCCUGGCCAGCAGCCAUGAUGACACAGAAGAAACGGAAGCUUCCUGGGGAAAUAAACCAGAAGCGAAACUCUGAACAGGCCUGGGUCCCCCGCCUCCCCGCCCCCUGCCCAAGACCCCCCGGGGAGGACUGUGCGCUCUUCCCUCUCCCAGACUCUGGACGAACAAGUAAUUCCUGUCUUCCGCCAGCUGCUCCAGGGACAGGAACGAAGGAACACCUUGUAUGAGGUUAGUUCACCAGAAACAGACAGAGACAAAAACUCACAAACGCCACAGUGACCAGGGGAGACGCGUCCCAGACACGCGGGGGCGACUUGAGUUAGAGAAUCUGUUCGCCAGACAGCACGGUCAUGUUGCUUCAGUCUUGAUCCCGAAGCCACCGUUACAAAAUUGAAGAGAGCUUUUGACUUGCAGAAAACUUCGGAUUCGUCCAGCUUGAACUGGCUGCUCGAAGCCUAAGCACUUGGCUCAGGAGUGGAGGAGCCCAGGCCUGUCCCCCGACACAGACAUACGUGGUGGCCCCAGGAGUCUGGCUGACCCAUUAGCCAGGGACAGGUCCUCCCGGCAUCACCAAGCAAGCUGCGGGCCCGGGGAGCACCCUAACCCUGGACAGCUCACAGACACGGCUCCCGCACGAGCCUGCGGCCCCUUCCUGCAGCACGCCUGCUCUGGACACCUGCCCCCGUGGGCCUGGCCCUCCUUGGGCGGCAGGAGGCAAGGCCGACACUAGACUCGGGCCUCAUCCCUCCAGCCUUCACAGCAGUGACUUCUGUGUCCUCCCUGGGAACUAGGGCGACUUCACUCUUUUGCUGCCCCAGGGGAGCCAAGUACAGGGCACGGGGCCCGAGGGUCAGGCAGUCCCACUCCAGGGACAAAGCUACCCUCCAGGCACAGGCCACCACCAAGCAGCCUCCUUGCCAAGCCCACCGCCUCCUGCUGGACGACAGGCUGUCCCUGGGAGAGGAGGCCAUGGGCGAGGCCAGUGUGAACCAGUGAGUACCCGGGCCCCACCUGGCACACAGGUGGUCAUGGCCCACUGGGACCCCUGUGCUGUGCGGAAGCCGAAUGGUGGCCGCAGGCCCUUCCCUCCGGCUCUGAGCCCCAGGGGUCUGUGUCUACCAGUGUCUAGUGGGUGUCACCCCAAGCCCCAGCCCCCACGUGUCUGCCAGAACAUCCGGACAGGGCGGCCCACUGAGGCCAGUGGAGAGCACGCAACCCCCAUGCUCACUCACCUGCCGCAGCUCUCGCGUGGACCACAGUGUCUGCAGGGCCUGCCGGAACAGGAGUGGGUCCUGGCCUGGGGGGACGAGACAAGGGCUAUGCAGAGUCCACCAACACCCCCCCCCACCUUUGAUCAACGCCUGGGGGCUUCCCGCAGAUGCCAGCCAGUGCCCGUGGACUCCGGCCAGAGCUCCCCACUGCCCUUCCCUGUGACGCCAGCCUGGCCAUCCUGCCGUGCUCACUGGGAUGGGCUUCUGCCCACAGCUUGGGGCAGCCCAGGCCUCAUGUUUCAGCAACGGUGGGCUGCAGGUCUCAGACUGACCACACUGUGUGGGCAGGGAAGGGGCAUCGGACCCCAGGGCCAAGCCCACAGCACUAACCAUCAGGGCAUGCCUGGUGGGCCACCGCGCCCCCACCCCUCCAUGCCAUGUCACAGCCCACGCCUGUCCACUGCCCACCAAGUGUGGCCUCCAGCCCCUGCUGAGACCCUAAAGUGGUCCCGGCCUCUGCCUCCCCUGGCUGCUCCCCAAAGCCUCCCCACCCACAGCCCUGGCCCUCUCUUGCUUGCCCAAGUCUCCAGCCCCACUGCAGGACUGCUGGCCGGGGCAGGGAUCCCACUGGGACCCUAGGCCCCAGGGAAGUUGGGAUUACCCUCAUGCUGGAAAAGGGACUGUGCCCUCAGACCAGGUUUAAGGUCAAGGCCUGGGAAGGUGGCUGCCGCCUGCUCUCCACUUUGGGAAAGAAAGCGGCCUCUGAGUCACCCACAGCCACCAGCGCCCCCUGGCUGCCUCCGGAGGGCCCGCCCCACCUCUGAGGCUACCUGCCCUGGGCCUCAGGGCAGGGCCACCCUGCUCAGCCCUUCCUGGCUCCCCACAGCCUCGUCACAUGAGGUCGCAGAAACCCCUUUUCUCUGUGCAAAAGCUCUGCUGCCGACACCCGGUUGCCACUGACCCUGGCCUCCCCAGUCCCGCCAGAACCUUGCAGAGCACAGGGCCCAGAGGGGGCGCCUCGUUCUUUCCUCAAGAACCAUCAAGGCCAUGUGGCUCAGAGGUGGGGGGGGGGGGGGUGUCACUAACAGAUUCCAUAGGUCAAAUCAGGGGGCUCAAGAGCAUGGGUGGCUCACCCGCAAAUCUACUCAAGAAUCAAAGAGACAAGAGCAACCCACUGGGCUCCUGCAGAAGACCAGACAUGGAAGGAAAGGCGGGGACACCUGAGCCCAGCCCUGGAGGGCUGCCCACCUGAGCACACAGACGCAGGGACCAGACAAGGCAACAGCGGUUAGACUCAGUGCACAGCACAGGAGGAGGGAUACGCUGGGCGCACUCCAGAAAGCAAGGCUGAUCGACCCAUGGAGGGUCCACCACUGUGGCUCGUUAAUGGGACACGGGGAAACAUUUCGUAAAACAAGCAUUUCAUAAGAGUAAAUUCUAUUCACGAUUUAGGAACAACUCUGCAACUAGACCACAGGCAACUUCAUGACCCAGAAAGAAAGAUGUUUAUAAACAAAACCCCUCAGCAAACAUAGAACUUAAUGCUGAAAGCUGAAAGCAGGCCCCCAGCGACAGGGCCAACAGGAGGGCACCCACUGCCCAUUCAGCACGGCCUGCAGGCCCCUGCCGGCUCAGCACGACACGAAGGAACAGUUGACGGCACAGAAUUUGGAAAGGAAACAAUAAAGUCAACACUACUCUGACAAACUCUGGUCUGUCCACAAGCGGAAUACGACUCAACGCUAGAAGAAAUGAGCGGUCAAGCGAGAGAGGACACGGAGGGUGCCCUCAAACGCACACUCCUGAGCGGAGGAGGCCGUGUGAACAGGCCACACGCGGCAGGAUCCCAGCCCCGCGACAUUCGGGAAGAGGCACGGCCAUGCAGGCAGUGACGCGACGCCGCGGGAGGCCGUCACAGUGGACGCGCGUCACCACGCACGUGUCCCAGCCCACAGAGCACCGCCGCCAGGAGGGCCCGAGUGCCCACGGGGGCUCUCGGCGAUAGCGGCGUGUCAGUAGGGUUCAUGAGGGCACCACACUGGCCGGGACGCGAGAGGCUAUGUGGGGCAGGGAUAUGGGAAAUCUCUGUAACCUCCUGGAUUUUGCUGUAACCCUAAAACUGCUCUAGAAAAAAUAAAGUCUUUAAAAGUUAAAACAAAACAACAACAAGAAAAGACACUACUGCUCACUGAAAACAUAAUUUUGUGGAGAGCCCUGAAGAAUCUGAAGAGGUUCCUCAGUGGACACGUUUCUGCACGGACCCUCACCACCAGGCCCACAGUAAAGUCCACUGUAAGCCAGCAAGUGGAGAUGGGCGUCAGAAACAGUGGGGGCGCCUGGGGGGCUCAGUCAGUUGGGAGACCGACUUCGGCUCAGGUCAUGAUCUCGGGGUUUGUGAGUUUGAGCCCCACGUGGGGCUCUGUGCUGACAGCUUGGAGCCUGGACCCUGCUUCCGAUUCUGUGCCUCCUUCUCUCUCUGCCCCAACCCA